GACGGAGGGUGCAAGCGUUGUUCGGAAUUACUGGGCGUAAAGGGCGCGUAGGCGGUCUGUUAAGUUCGGUGUGAAAGCCCCCGGCUCACCUGGGGAACUGCGCCGGAAACCGACAGACUCGAGUACCGGAGAGGAGGGUGGAAUUCCUGGUGUAGCGGUGAAAUGCGUAGAUAUCAGGAGGAACACCGGUGGCGAAGGCGGCCCUCUGGGCCGGUACUGACGCUGAGGAGCGAAAGCGUGGGUAGCAAACAGG
rnacentral:rRNA from 1 species